AUGCUAACUUCAGCAGCGGACAUACUAAAAUUGGAAUCAUACGAUGAAGAUUAACAUGACCGCUGCACAAAAAUGACACACAAAUUUGUGAAAAAUUCCAUAUUUUU